ensembl:lncRNA
UCUCGGUCCCUGAAUGCAUCUAUUUUUAUUACACUGUGAUAUUUCAGGGGCAAGUUACAUGGACGUGGUUUUAGAAAGACUUUAUUAUGUAAGUGAACACAACACGAGACAAAGAAAUAAUGAAACAUUUCACAGGCAAAUAAAGAAGAAAAAACUAUAUAAUUUAAACAACUUGUAUAAAUAAAAGUCUACACAGCAGUGAAUAUGAAAUGGUUCAUUUUACACUAAAUACACAUUUUCUGAGUGAAAGUCUGCUGCUCGUGUAAUUGGAGAAAGCAUUUUGGUUAAAAGUAGGAUCAGUUUCUGUGGCACAUAUUUGGAGUUUGCAGUGAACCUUCUGCAACUGUAAUUGGUCCCACAUGAACCUUGAUAAUAUAUCAACAAAAUCACAACGUUAACGUUUUGAACAUCUUCAUGUGAUAAGAGGGUUUUUAAUAUUUUAUGUUUUCUAUAUAUUCAGUGUCAUCUAUUGCAUUUUGGUUAAAGCUAACAACUAAUCCAAAGAACCACUAAGUGAAAGUAAUGCAGGAAAACGAGCAUGACGACAGGUUUCUGGUCAACAGAAAAAGAAAAAAAAAAAAUCUAGCUUUGGUCAAAUUCCACUGCUCUCUCUGCUUUUUUGUUUCUUUUUUUAAAAUCAAGCCACUGAUAUGCACCUUUUCACACUGAGACCUGUUACUGACAGGUAGCGAGGACUACAACACACCUAUAUAUAACAAUUUAGCAGCUAGCGGCUUUUAUUAAAUCAAUCCUUCCUCCCGUGUAAAGGAUUUGUCCACAAGCAAAAAUGUAGACUUGAUUGAUCCUUCUUUGUGUUAAUGACAUAAUCACUUCCACCCCAGGACAAGAAGCCCAGUUUCAUACUGUUUUUGGUGUAUUUUUAUUUACUGUCAACCUCCUGUGCAGCUCAUGUCUCUUGAUCCUUUCUGGAAAGCAACGAUUCUUUGUGGGGGGAUUGUUUUGUUGUUGUUUUUUUUACAAUGAACGAGGAACACGCAAUUGACUGCUAAUCUCUACCCUCUCCACCACAUUGCACAUUGCUUGAGCAUCCAGACAUUUCUCUUUGCUUUUAUAUUCAUCCGCCAGUUCACGCCUGAAGGAAUCAACGGAAAGGCCUUAAAGAUCACAAGACGUGACGAUGUAAAAAAUGAAAAAUCCUUUUGAAAUUGUUACUGAAGCAAACCAGGGUGUAAUUUCAGGCAUGCGGUAAUAACACGCUGUGCUUUGCUUUUCAAGUGAGCCUAUGAUAACAAUGAAACUGAAAAGAAAAACAUAUAUUUCAAAUGGAGCUAGCUCAGUUUGAUCUUACAGUUCCAGCAGAAAACAAUAAAAAAAAAAAAAAAAAAAAGUCACAACAAAUAAUGAGAACAUAAAGUCAUACAGCUUUGAAUCCGUGUUACAGUGUUACUCUGAAGUGGCUUCAUAUGUUUAUUACCUAUCAGAUGCACGAAGCUAAACACAAACAGCGCAGCGCAGACUGGCCUUUAGCAGCAUUAUCGCACGUCGCUCAAGCUACUCACCGUGUUCAGUUUCAAGAAUGCAGAAGAAGAAAAGCAACAGAAUCAUGAGGGGGUUAAGAGAAUUUCUACAUACAGUACAUUGUAAAACAAGUAGUUAAAAAAUGUAAAUGUAACUGCCGCAAAAGAAUAAAGACAUCUUUAGCUCAAACUGUAACAGUGUACACAGAACAGAGUACAUUAAGAACAUUAUACAUACUUCCUAUUUUCUUCUGCAGUGAUCAACUCUGUUUUAUUUUUGUGUCUGUUUUUUUUUAAUUAAUACAAUCUUUAAACUCUGCAGACAUCAGUUUUUAAUUUAGUAAAAUAUUAGGACUGGGGAAAGCAGCAUGGCUU